ensembl:snRNA U6 U6 spliceosomal RNA
GCGCUUGCUUCGGCAGCACAUAUACUAAAAUUGGAAGGAUUCAGAGCAGAUUAGCAUGGCCCCUGUGCCAGAAUGGCAUGCAAAUUUGUGAAGCCUGAAAAAAAAUU